AGGAAGAGGGAGUUGAAAGAAGUUUCCCCCUUUUGGGAAAGGUUGUGUGGGCAGGGUUCCCCUCCUUGUCCAGUGUUUGUGGUACAGAUCUGGCACCUUGUGUCCACCUGCUUCUUCACCUCUUCCUCCCAACCUCCCCCCGCCCCAACCAGCAGUGUCUUAGAUGUGCAUGCACUCACUCAAGCCUCAAUCCUGUAUCUGCAUGUACCUUCAGGAGCAUAAACAGGAACCAAGAGAGUCACUGAUUUAACUUAGAGCACUCGAAAAUCUCAGGUCAGUAUGUGGGUGGGGGUGCUUUUUCCCCUUAGGACUCCCCACUCCACUUUUGCCAUUGUUGGAAGGAAAGAAGGAAGGCAGGAAGGAAGGAAGGAAGGAAGGGGAAAGGAAGGAAGAAAGAAAGAAAGAAAGAAAGAAAGAAAGAAAGAAAGAAAGGAGAAAAGAAAAGAAAAGGAAAGGAAAGGAAAGGAAAGGAAAGGAAAGGAAGACCAGAAAGAGAAUUCCUUACAGAUGGAGGAGGUAGAAGCAACCACACUUGAGAUGAUAUUCCACUUCUGGCCCCUGGGAAUUUUUUUUUUUUUUUCCUGAGACCAAGAUAGUUUCAACUUUAGGGAUUACUGUAAUUUACUGGGGAUAGAGCGGCACAAGACUCAAGGCCCAAGAAAUUGGUGGGAAACUAGACCUCACAGCAGAAAAUGAAAAGUCAGUCUGGGGGAAGAUUUUUAAAUAAGUGGGUCAGAGGGAUGGAGAAGAGAUGAGGCGAUCAAUCUUAGCCCCCUGACAGCUCCCUCCCAUUGCAUCAAAGAAUUUGGCUCUUUGGGAAAGCAGAGGAACAGUCGAAAUUCCACAUCCCUUAAUAAGGACUGGGGUGGGGGUGGGGAGACGGUUAGCAAAAGAGAAAGGUGAUUCUUGGAGAGCCGGGAAACAGAUGGGAAAUGGGGACAGAGGAAAGGGUGCUAAAUUGGGUGGAAAGUUUGUCUGGAGAACUCCCACAGUUCUGGCCUCCCCUCCCCCUCCCGGCUCUCUGCAGUCCAGUUAAGAGAAGAAGCCCGGUUAGCAGAGAGAUGGCAACUCAGCCAGGCGGGCGCUGGAACUAGAAACUUUCUGUCAAUGUAACAUCCGCGUGGGUGGUGACCCAAUGGUGGUUGGGCUUCGGGUCACGUGACGGCUUCUUUGUAGCUACGGAAGAGGACUGGGAAGUUUAGGUUGCAUGGAAGAAGCAACAAUCGGCCAGAUUUUUUUGUUGUUGGGGGGUGGGGGACUGGACAGAAGUUGUGGCCAAAGGAGGGAACAGACAAAAGGUCAAUGAAAGAGAGAAACCUAGAGGCAAAGAGGCGGAACAGAAAGACCUACAGAGAGCGCCCGAGAGUCUCCCCACCCCCACCCCGACUUGUUACUUAAACCUUAGCUAAAAAACUUGGCAGAGUGUUCCAGGCUAGUGUGAGUGAGAAAAAAAAAAAAACGGAUUUAAACCUUAGACACAGCAGGGGAAAAGUAGAGACUUGAGCGGUGGACAGGAAAGCCAGGCUAGGGUCUUCAAAGCCCUUCUGUCAGAAAAAAUUUGCCAGUCAGCAGCCUUGCUCUGCUAUCUAAUUUGGACCACUAGAACAAGAGAAAAUUGGUAACAGAAAGUUUAUUCAAGAAUUGUUCGACAGACAACCUUUUUAAGCAAGGAAGAAAGUAACUACAAAGAACAAAGAAACUUCCAAGAGGGAAUACCUCUAAUUCUACAAAUCUGGGACUAUACAGCGACAAUUAGGAGCUGAGUUCAUGCCUUUUAGAACUAAUUACAAUUGCUCACCUCCAAGACUAGCUGCCCACCCCGUUCGCCCUCCCAGAACGCCACAACCGGAUAAGCCCCCUGGCCCCUCCGCCCUCCCUCUCCCAUCACAGAGCAGAUGCUGAGGCUAGCUGACCUAAACGGGAUGUUCUUUAUUUCAACGCUUUAAUUUUAAAGAAAACAGCCUGCCGGUUUUCAUUUCCAACUGAAAAACAAGGAAUAUACUCCUUUGGGGACCCCUAGGUGAAGAUUUUUAUUACUACAAGGGCCACUGCUUCUCUUCUGCCUGCGCACUAGUCCCUGACCUCUCCUCCUCCCUUUCCACGACCCAACUUUGGGAUAGGGUGGCCCAAGGGGAGGGGGGCUAGGAGACUCCAAAAUAAAAGCGUCAUCAACACCUCCUUCCAGCUGAGAGGACUCUCCGCCUCCUGCCUUUCCUUCUCUCCUUGUGCUCUCUCCAUAUCCAUCUAGGUCUCUUUCACCCAAGCAAAGUCUAGCCUAGAGGAUCUCCAAAAGAGACAGGAGGGAGAAGCAAGUUCAGCCCAGGACCUUCUCCUGAGGGAUCCCCUCCUAGCACCUCAGGAAGACAACAUCAACAGCAGCCUGACCUGGAAACCCUGAAGAUUUGUAACCUUUGGCUGGCAGAACCAAGCCUCCUCUGGACCGGCUGCAGGUAGCACCACCUCCAGUCCGAGGGUCUUUGCUCAGCCACGCCUGGGCCCCAGCAGCCAGAGGUCCCAGUGGGGCACCCAAAUGGAGCCGGAUCCUUUCGCUUUUCCUGGCUGGCCGAUUGGUGCUGUGACUGACCAUUUGGCCUCGAUCCACCACCACCACCACCACCCCACAUGCACAACCUUUUUUUCAUCAGACUUAAGUUUUUCCCAGUCUUUCUUUGCAGUCUGCUUUCUUUCAUUUCUCCAAAAGAAGAAAGAAGAAAGGAAUUGUGUAACAGCUGGACUUUUCUACCAAGAAACAGAAAAAGUGUUUUCUAGAAAAGCAAAUUAUUCCCCAGGAAAAAAAAAAAGUCAACAAAGCAAGAAACAACAUUAUUCUCUGAG